rnacentral:lncRNA from 12 species
CUUUCCUUGGUCGCACUUUUCAAGUGGGUAAGUUCUGGGGCCCGUGGGUCUCUGGGCAGAGUGCACGGUUGACUUAGAAGGGAGGCUCUCUCUUCAAGGACCAUCCUUCUGGAUGCAGAGUCUUUUCUUCGGACUCUCUGUGUGGAGCUGUGCUUCCUGCUGGGCUGCGGAUGCUGACCUGAACUUUGCUGUUGGCCCCGCAGCCAGCAGCACUCACGCUCUCAAAGGGAAACGGUAGCAUUAUGUCUUCUGGGUAUUGGAGGAAACAGCUGGAAAAGAACUGGCUUCCCCUGGAGUUGAACCCUACUGUCCUUGACCAUGAACAGCACAUGGUACGGAAGCUUGUUUGCUGUGAUUUAUAUAAUGGUUAGCAGAGAUUUAGGUAGGUAGUGGGGGGUGGUGUCUGGAUUCUUGUUUGUGACGUUGAGGGUAUGUGCUCACUUAUGUUGUGACGUCAGUGAUUCUUUGAAUUCAUGAAGGGAGUGAUUACCUGGCUCACGUCUAUGUAUGCACAUUAUACACUUUAUCUAAUUUUUCUGUCUACCAGGUUGCUUUUCGGGGUGCACAGAUGAGGCUUGCCCUCUGGAGACAAUGCUGCCAUCCCGGAGAGAGGCCUCACCCAUGAGCCAGGGCCUCCUGCAAACUUUGCGGGUGUUUCACAUGGAAAACAUCGGUGACCCCGCUCCCUCAGGAGCUGCGUGUGAGGCCCUGCACUGAAAACCCUUCUCUGGCCACUUCGAGCUCCACGGCCUUGGCUGACGCACGUCCCACCUCUGACUCGCUCUCCUGCUCUGGGGUCCCGCCCGGCUGGCUCAGCCAAGCCCUGGCAGGUGCUCUAGAGGAGGAGAGCCAGCAGCGGCUUCCAGAAUGUGGUGAGAUCUGAGGGGCAUAGGGGAGGAGACAGGUAGGCAGGGUCCGCAUUACACUUAAACAAAUAGAU